GAGUUAGAUCCUGGCUCAGAACGAACGCUGGCGGCGUGCUUAACACAUGCAAGUCAGGGAGAAAGUCUCUUCGGGGAUGAUUAAACCGGCGCACGGGUGAGUAACACGUGAGUGACCUGCCUUUUAGACUGGAACAACUUACCGAAAGGUGAGCUAAUGCCGGAUGAGUUAUAUAAGUGCAUGUUUAUAUAGGAAAAGUUGGGGAGACCUGACGCUGAAAGAUGGACUCGCGUCCCAUUAGCUAGUUGGUAGGGUAAUGGCCUACCAAGGCGACGAUGGGUAGCCGGCCUGAGAGGGUGGCCGGCCACACUGGGACUGAGACACGGCCCAGACUCCUACGGGAGGCAGCAGUGGGGAAUUUUGCGCAAUGCUCGUAAGAGUGACGCAGCGACGCCGCGUGAAUGACGAAGGCCUUCGGGUCGUAAAGUUCUUUCGACAGGGAAGAAAAUGCCUAUAAGUAACUGUGUAUGUAUUGACGGUACCUGUAUAAGCAGCCCCGGCUAACUCCGUGCCAGCAGCCGCGGUAAUACGGAGGGGGCGAGCGUUGUUCGGAGUGACUGGGCGUAAAGAGCACGUAGGCGGUGUUGUAAGUCAUUAGUCAAAGACUAGAGCUCAACUUUAGUAAGGCUAGUGAUACUAUAAUACUAGAGUAUCAGAGAGGAUUGCAGAAUUCCUGGUGUAGCGGUGAAAUGCGUAGAUAUCANGAGGAAUACCGUUAGC
rnacentral:rRNA from 1 species